GGUUAAGCGACUAAGCGUACACGGUGGAUGCCCUGGCAGUCAGAGGCGAUGAAGGACGUGCUAAUCUGCGAUAAGCGCCGGUAAGGUGAUAUGAACCGUUAUAACCGGCGAUUUCCGAAUGGGGAAACCCAGUGUGACUCGUCACACUAUCAUUAACUGAAUCCAUAGGUUAAUGAGGCGAACCGGGGGAACUGAAACAUCUAAGUACCCCGAGGAAA
rnacentral:rRNA from 1 species